rnacentral:rRNA from 1 species
AAUAUUGGACAAUGGGGGCGACCCUGAUCCAGCAAUGCCGCGUGUGUGAAGAAGGUCUUCGGAUUGUAAAGCACUUUAAGUUGGGAGGAAGGGCUUUAGGUUAAUACCCUUAAGUUUUCUCGUUACCACUAGAAUCAGACCCCGCCUACUCUGUUCCAGACUCCGCGGUAAUACGUACGUUGUAAGCGUUAAUCGGAAUUACUGGGCGUAAAGCGAUCGUAGGUGGUUCAGUAAGAUGGGUGUGAAAUCCCCGGGCUUAACCUGGGAACUGCUUUCAUAACUGGUGAGCUAGAGUACGGUAGAGGGUAGUGGAAUUUCCUGUGUAGCGGUGAAAUGCGUAGAUAUAGGAAGGAACACCAGUGGCGAAGGCGACUACCUGGACUGAUACUGACACUGAGGUGCGAAAGCGUGGGGAGCAAACA